UACGUAGGGUGCGAGCGUUGUCCGGAAUUAUUGGGCGUAAAGAGCUUGUAGGCGGUCUGUCGCGUCUGCUGUGAAAAUCCGGGGCUCAACCCCGGACUUGCAGUGGGUACGGGCAGACUAGAGUGUGGUAGGGGAGACUGGAAUUCCUGGUGUAGCGGUGAAAUGCGCAGAUAUCAGGAGGAACACCGAUGGCGAAGGCGGAUCUCUGGGCCGUAACUGACGCUGAGGAGCGAAAGCAUGGGGAGCGAACAGG
rnacentral:rRNA from 1 species